UGAACGCUGGCGGUAGGCCUACCACAUGCAAGUCGAACGGCAGCACAGUAAGAGCUUGCUCUUACGGGUGGCGAGUGGCGGACGGGUGAGGAAUACAUCGGAAUCUACUUUUUCGUGGGGGAUAACGUAGGGAAACUUACGCUAAUACCGCAUACGACCUACGGGUGAAAGCAGGGGAUCUUCGGACCUUGCGCGAUUGAAUGAGCCGAUGUCGGAUUAGCUAGUUGGCGGGGUAAAGGCCCACCAAGGCGACGAUCCGUAGCUGGUCUGAGAGGAUGAUCAGCCACACUGGAACUGAGACACGGUCCAGACUCCUACGGGAGGCAGCAGUGGGGAAUAUUGGACAAUGGGCGCAGGCCUGAUCCAGCCAUACCGCGUGGGUGAAGAAGGCCUUCGGGUUGUAAAGCCCUUUUGUUGGGAAAGAAAAGCAGCAGGUUAAUACCCCGCUGUUCUGACGGUACCCAAAGAAUAAGCACCGGCUAACUUCGUG
rnacentral:rRNA from 1 species